GACGUAGGGUGCAAGCGUUGUCCGGAUUUACUGGGCGUAAAGGACGCGUAGGCGGUUCGUUAAGUGUGAAGUGAAAUCUCCAGGGCUCAACCCGGAAACUGCUUCGCAUACUGGCGGACUGGAGGGAUGCAGAGGUAAGUAGAAUUCCUGGUGUAGCGGUGAAAUGCGUUGAUAUCAGGAGGAAUACCGAUGGCGAAGGCAGCUUACUGGGCAUCAUCUGACGCUGAGGCGUGAAAGCGUGGGUAGCAAACAGG
rnacentral:rRNA from 1 species